UGUGUGCAUCACAUUCUGUUCAUAAGGAAGCUUCGAUGCUUUCAUAGAAAAUUUUGAAAUUCUGAGAUCUAAUCUUCAUGGAGAAGGCUUCCAGGUCAGUUCCAGCUCCAUUGCUCCAAGUCCUGUGUCUGUCAUGUAUUCAGCAAGAGAGCCUUAUGUUCAAGUUCUGAGAGUAAAAAGAAUAAGAUGCUGGAGAUAUGGCUCAGAGUUUAUAAGCACCAACUCAAGUUGCAGAGGACUCCAGUAUGAUUGCCAGCACCCAGGUUAUAAAUGGUAAAUAACUGGUGUACCUCACACAUAUGGUGAAAUGCUCUACUAAAUGGAGGGAAGAAGGACGUAUUUAGAAAAACAAGCUCAUUUUGAGAAAGUUGUUUCCCUCCAUUUACUCUGAAACAUGUCUUCUUCCAUUUACU